rnacentral:tRNA from 1 species
CUGAUUUGUAAUCAGCAGGUCGUCGGUUCAAGUCCGACAGCUGGCUCCA